ensembl:lncRNA
GGACCGCCCUCCUUCCCGCGGGUGGCCGCGGCGCUGCGCCGUGAGGUGCGGCCGUGGGGAGCUGCGCUCCCUCGGAGGCCUGAGGUGAGAGGGAAGGCCCGGCGCGCGACUGCAGACCGCGCCGUGCAGGAGCGAGGUGGAGCCGCGGCCGUAGCGUUAAAAGGUUGAGGCGUCUGAGUUUUACCGAGCGUCACAGCAGCUGAGAGGGAAACGGCACUCUGCUCGGAAAAGACUUGGACAUUUCAAACGUGGCUUGUUUGAAUUAGGCAGUGUGAUGCUCAUUUGUGGCAUCCUUCUCUAGAAAGCACUUGAAGCUUCUAUCUUCUAAACACAAGGAACUGAAGGACUUUGAAUUGUGGCCAAACUUGUGCAGCCUUAGAGACAAGCUUUUAUUCACGAGUUACCUUGCCAACCACAAGUAGCACCUUCUCAGAUGAAGUGUGUCAUACCUUCAUGCCACUUUACAGAAGUGAGUUAUACUUACCAUAAAAAUGUAAUUUUCUUUAUUUUUUUAAUCACUGUCUUGAAUCUGUUCAGACUUCUUUGGAUACCACUGUAGAACAUGUUGGAAAUAUACCUUCAUGGAAGUACAGGAAACAAUAUGUUUGUGCCCAUAAAACACAUUUCUGUGCAUGGGAUAAAGAGAGAUGUAUUUCGGAGUUUCUGUAAAUCUGCUUUUACCCAGGAGAACCAAUGAACCACUUCUUUUUUUUUUUUCUUUUCCUGCUCAGGUUCCAACUAGUACACAGUGUAUGAGUUUGUUGUCUCACAAUUAGCACUUACUGAAUGAUUAGCCUGUAAGGAUUUUAAUUAUGUGCUAUUAGGAUCCAUUUAGUGAGAAGAGCAUUUUAUAAUGCUUCUUCAUUGCUGCAGGUAUUUUUGUGAGAAAGUAAUUCCAGUUUUUCCAGCAUGUAUAUGGAGCAUACAUAGUCCACAAAGGAAGCCAAGUGAAGCCUGGGAGGCUGUGGCUGCAGAAGUUGCUUGUAGGGAAUUUUGAUCGUGUCCAA